UCGGUGAGGUCAUUGCUAUGCCAUAUGUCC
rnacentral:piRNA from 1 species